CAGUCGCCGCGGGAAUACGUAGGGCGCGAGCGUUAAUCAGAAUUACUGGGCGUAAAGCGUGCGCAGGCGGUUCGUUAAGACAGAUGUGAAAUCCCCGGGCUUAACCUGGGAACUGCAUUUGUGACUGGCGAGCUAGAGUAUGGCAGAGGGGGGUAGAAUUCCACGUGUAGCAGUGAAAUGCGUAGAUAUGCGGAGGAACACCGAUGGCGAAGGCAGCCCCCUGGGCCAAUACUGACGCUCAUGCACGAAAGCGUGGGGAGCAAACAGGAUUAGAUACCCCGGUAGUCCCUGUCUCUUAUAC
rnacentral:rRNA from 1 species